AGAUCAUUUUGGAGACAAUUUCGAAGUAAUCCUUUUUUAGCGCUUCCAUGCUUCAUAUAAUGACUCACUUGGUUGUUGCUCAAAGUUAGCUAUGGCCUUCUUGAUUUU